ACUAAUAUUUAACCUAUUGGAAUAACAUGUAUAAUCUAUGAGUUAUAGUCUUUGGUUGGGGUGACCUCGGAGCAUAAAAGAACCUCCGAAUGAAUAAAAACCAAGAUUAACAAAUCUAAGUGUAAUAUUACCAGUAAUUGACCCAUAUUUUGAUCAACGGAACAAGUUACCCCAGGGAUAACAGCGCAAUCCUAUUUGAGAGCCCAUAUCGAAAACAGGGUUUACGACCUCGAUGUUGGAUCAGGACAUCCAAAUGGUGCAACCGCUAUUAAAGGUUCGUUUGUUCAACGAUUAAAGUCCUACGUGAUCUGAGUUCAGACCGGAGAAAUCCAGGUCGGUUUCUAUCUGUAAAUUCAUUUCUCCCAGUACGAAAGGACAAGAGAAAUAGGGCCAAUAUCCAUAAUAAGCCCUAGAAUUAAUAUAUGAAUUUAUCUAAAUAUACUAAAUCAACCCAUAUACCCCCAAGAACAGGGCUAUUAAGAUGGCAGAGCCGG
rnacentral:ncRNA from 1 species